GUCAGAUUCACAUUCUCGUGUGGCAACAGCCAACAAGUGCCUGCGUUCAGCUCCAUUCUUUAGACUGGGUAAGACAUGGUCCCAGCAGCAUGGUAUUGUUUCUACACUUGUGUGAACAAUCCAGAGAGUAGGGCCUGUUGUUCCCAUCUGACUCCAAGAAGUACUGGGAUUUGCAACCCUGACCCAAAUCAAGAGGAUAUUUCCUCCCAGGUUAUGGUUUUCAGACCUUGGACUGUGAGUUAAAACACAAGCUCCCCUAGUUCUCAUGUCGUUGGACUUGAAUUGAAUAACACACCUGGCUUUGUUUGCUGGACAAUCGAUAGGCUACCAUGAAGCUCCUAUAUUCUUGUGGGCCAUUCCUAUGCUUCAGACCUUGGAACUUACAGCAAAGUUUGCUGAUCUCUCUCAGGCGUUCAAUCUCAGAGUGGGAUUUACAUCAUCAGCAACCAUGAAGUAUGGCCCACACGUAAGUUACUCCACUAAAUUUGUUCCUUAUUCAUGUUACAGAUGAAGGACUUCCCAACUUCCAUCAUCUUGUAAACCAGAACCUAAAAGAUUUAUUUAAAAAAAAUCUUUGUCAGAGAUAGAGAUAGAGAUAGUGAUAGAGAUAGAUGAUAGAUAGGUAGAUAGAUAGAUAGAUAGAUAGAUAGAUAGAUAGAUAGAUAGAUAGAUAGAUAGAUAAAGUUGACUAUAGAUACAGAUCUAUACAUACUACUUGUUCUGUUUCUCUGAGGAAAAUGUACUUGGAAAUUACUAGCUUUGUUAGUGAUUCUUGUGAUUCUUAAAAGUCAAUGAAGGCAAUAUUCUACCCAAACUUCAUCCAUUAGCAAUUUGUAUUCGUGCAAAUUCUCUAUAGUUUACAUCUCCUGAGAUAGUUUCAAGUUUAAAUAGAAUAUCAUCAGAUAAACUCAUGUGGCUAUCAUAGGCUAAUACUGCUAAAUUUCAACCCAUGGGAUAAUUUAAAAGAAAAUUAAAUUUAGAUUUCCAAUCAAUAAACUGAAGUUAUGGCUCAUUUUAUAAUUAGAAGUUCUUUUUGCCUGUCUUACAUAGACCUUUANNNNNNNNNUUUUAGUAUAACGUACAAAGGAUUAUUUGUUCUAAUUUUUUCUGAAUAUGGUUUUAUGUAUUUUUCAUAAACAUAGUUUAACGUUGAUAGAAUUAGAAAAUAGGGAAUAAUUUCUUCACUGCUCCAUAGAAAAUGUUAUGAAUCUCAAAGAAUUUGCAUAACCUGAAGCAAUUCCCUUCUAUGAAUGGUUACUCUACAACUAGCUCCCACACAGAAUAGCUUAUAUCAACCUUGAUUAGAUUUUUGGUAAAUUGAGGAACUUCCGUCAUUUAUCUUAAUUUUAAGACCACUUACAAUAUAAAAAAAAGUCUAAACAACAAGAUGGUGAUGCUGCUAAGACCAGGUCAAAGGGGAAUUCUUGAGCAAUAAUUUAACAGAUAAAAUAAAUCACGGGAGGACCACAGAACUCUGUGAAUGAGUAAUGAGAAGUUUUAUUUAUGUUUCCAUUCAGUGAUUUUCACUAAGAGUCAACUAUUGAAGUACUCAUUUCUAUGGACACUGAGGAAGAUAUUUUAUUUGCUAAUUCUGAGAUGAUGUCCCUAACCUAAAUUCCCAGCAUUAAUAACUCACAUAUCCGUGUUUAAAAUAUGGUCUUAUUAACUCAGAGCUAGUGUUUUACCUCACUAGCAAGGCAGUUCAAAUUCACCCACUUCAACUUAAUCAUUACUUCUUAACUCCUGGCCCCAGAUUUUUGAAAUGUUAAAUAAUAUCAAGGUGCAGUCUUUGGGUUUCUUAUAUGUCUAAACUCACCCUGUUGUCUCUUAUAAAAGCAUCAAACACCAUACACACCCUGAUUGCUCAUACAUUUGUCCCUCCAGAUAAAAAUCUUGUUUGGAAAUUCCUAUCUUUUAUAUUCAAACUCCUAAUCAAUGGUUUUAUUUGU
ensembl:lincRNA Gm34240 predicted gene, 34240